UGCCUGGCGGCACUAGCGCGGUGGUCCCACCUGACCCCAUGCCGAACUCAGAAGUGAAACGCCGUAGCGCCGAUGGUAGUGUGGGGUCUCCCCAUGCGAGAGUAGGGAACUGCCAGGCAC
rnacentral:rRNA from 1 species